UGGCAGGUGUACAUUACAUAUUUUGGCCUUGCAAAACUUUAUAUGGAUCCUGAGACAGAUGAACACAUAUCAUAUAGGGAACAUAAAAGUUUCGUAGGCACUCAUCGCUAUGCGAGUCUGUAUACACACUGUGGUGUCGAGCAAAGUAGACGUGUUGAUGUAGAGUCUCUUGGUUAUGUUCUUGUGUAUUUCCUAAAAGGAAGGUUAGAUCAAAUAAAGUCUGUUGAUGGUUUUGUUUAUUGUAAUUUUGGUUGUGUGGUCUAAUUGUGUCCAUGGCUUAAGUCUUCCAUGGCAGGGAAUUAGUGUAGGAAGCAACGAAGAGGAGUUAAAUCAUAAACUAAUGAUUAAGAAGUUUAACACUAAACCUGAGGAGCUAUGUGAAUCAUGUCCACCCGAGUUUGCAGCAUGGGUCAAGUGUAUGCGACUUACACUCUUUAGUGAAAUGCCCUCCUAUAUUUAUUUGAUGGCUAUUACCCAACGACUCUUUAAGUCUAAAGGUUAAACCUCAUAAUCCAAUUUUAUAAACUUUAAUCCACAAAUGCCUUUCGGUUUCAUAUAAUAAUAUUGAUACCUGCAGGCUAUAAGUUCGAUUAUGUAUAUGAUUGGAGCAUAUCUCCAAAGGACAACAUCAAGUUGGGAGCACCAGCUGAAAAACCAAUAAGAAUUUUGGCUACUCAAGAUACCCAUGAUACAGUAGAAGCGUUUUCCAGAACCAGGAUUUCCGAUGAUGUACCUUCAUCAAAAGAUGUGCAACCCGAUCCUGAAAAUGAAAAUCCCAAUCCCUGGCAGAUAGUUGGUGGACGGCGAAGGCAAAGGCACCACGAGUCGAGCGGUGGUGGACAUGGAGUUGCUAUGUUUAGGAAGUCAAAGAAUCAUAAUUUUAUUUAAGGAAAUUAUUAUUUUGUAGAAUUUUCCAUGUUUUUGAUGUUGCGUAUCUUGUAACAAUGGUGAUAUAUAAGAAACUAAGUGUGAGACCGAUGUAUUAAAUGAGUUUAUUUAAAAGAAAA